GCCAGCAGGAGCGGUAAUACGAAGGCCCCAAGCGUUAUCCGGAAUUACUGGGCGUAAAGCGCGAGCAGCCGGUUUUGAUAGUCCGGUGUUAAAUCUCACUGCUUAACGGUGAGGCCGCAUCGGAAACGUCAAGGAGCGCAAGCUCCUUAGAACUAGAGCGAGUCAGAGGCAAGCAGAACGUGCGGUGUAGGGGUGAAAUCCGUUGAUAUCGCACGGAAUACCAAAAGCGAAGGCAGCUUGCUAGGGCUCUGCUGACGGUCAAUUGCGAAAGCGUGGGGAUCAAAAAGGAUUAGAUACCCUUGUAGUCCACGCCCUAAACGAUGCAGACUAGCUAUCGGGAGCAUCGACCCUCUCGGUGGCGUAGCUAACGCGUUAAGUCUGUCGCCUGGGAAGUACGAUCGCAAGAUUAAAACUCAAAGAAAUAGACGGGGAUCCGCACAAGCGGUGGACCAUGUGGUUUAAUUCGACAGUAAGCGAAGAACCUCACCAGGGUUAGAAAUCCGGCUGCACACCCGCCGAAAGGCGGGAGCCUUCGAGGGUGCCGGACAGGUGCUGCACGGUUGUCGUCAGCUCGUUCCGUGGGGAGUUCCAUUAAGUUGGGAAACGAGCGCAACCCCUAUUGCGUGUUAUAAGUGUCACGCGAGACUGCCCAGCCCAAAACGCAUAAGAUGCGUUUCAAGUGGAAAGUUAAAAGUUCUUAAAGUUUAUAAAGUAAAAUUCAAAAAACUUUAUAACUUGACGAACUUGAUGAACUUUAAACUAGAAACGCACAUGGUGUGCGUUUCGGGCUGGGAGGAAGGUGGGGAUGACGUCAAAUCAGCGUGGCCCUCUGAUACCCUGGGCUACACACGUGGUACAAUGGACGGUACAAUGGGUCGCCAAACCGCAAGGUGGAGCCAAUCCCAUCAAAGCCGUCCUCAGUUCGGAUUGGAGGCUGCAACUUGCCUCCAUGAAGCUGGAAUCGCUAGUAAUCGCAGAUCAGAACGCUGCGGUGAAUACGUUCUCGGAUCUUGUACUCACAAUGAAAGCGCC
rnacentral:rRNA from 1 species